rnacentral:rRNA from 1 species
CUACGGGUUGCUGCAGUGAGGAAUAUUGCACAAUGGGGGGAACCCUGAUGCAGCAACGCCGCGUGGAGGAUGACGCAUUUCGGUGUGUAAACUCCUUUUAUAUGUCAAGAAAAUGACGGUAGCAUAUGAAUAAGCACCGGCUAACUCCGUGCCAGCAGCCGCGGUAAUACGGAGGGUGCAAGCGUUACUCGGAAUCACUGGGCGUAAAGGACGCGUAGGCGGGUUGGAAAGUCAGGUGUGAAAUCCUACAGCUUAACUGUAGAACUGCACUUGAAACUUCUAAUCUAGAGUAUGGGAGGGGGAGAUGGAAUUAGCGGUGUAGGGGUAAAAUCCGUAGAUAUCACUAGGAAUACCUAAAGCGAAGGCGAUCUCCUGGAACAUUACUGACGCUAAGGCGUGAAAGCGUGGGGAGCAAACAGGAUUAGAUACCCCGGUAGUC